AUUGAACGCUGGCGGCAGGCCUAACACAUGCAAGUCGAACGGUAACAGGAAACAGCUUGCUGUUUCGCUGACGAGUGGCGGACGGGUGAGUAAUGUCUGGGAAACUGCCUGAUGGAGGGGGAUAACUACUGGAAACGGUAGCUAAUACCGCAUAACGUCGCAAGACCAAAGAGGGGGACCCUCGGGCCUCUUGCCAUCGGAUGUGCCCAGAUGGGAUUAGCUUGUUGGUGGGGUAACGGCUCACCAAGGCGACGAUCCCUAGCUGGUCUGAGAGGAUGACCAGCCACACUGGAACUGAGACACGGUCCAGACUCCUACGGGAGGCAGCAGUGGGGAGUAUUGCACAAUGGGCGCAAGCCUGAUGCAGCCAUGCCGCGUGUAUGAAGAAGGCCUUCGGGUUGUAAAGUACUUUCAGCGGGGAGGAAGGGAGUAAAGUUAAUACCUUUGCUCAUUGACGUUACCCGCAGAAGAAGCACCGGCUAACUCCGUGCCAGCAGCCGCGGUAAUACGGAGGGUGCAAGCGUUAAUCGGAAUUACUGGGCGUAAAGCGCACGCAGGCGGUUUGUUAAGUCAGAUGUGAAAUCCCCGGGCUCAACCUGGGAACUGCAUCUGAUACUGGCAAGCUUGAGUCUCGUAGAGGGGGGUAGAAUUCCAGGUGUAGCGGUGAAAUGCGUAGAGAUCUGGAGGAAUACCGGUGGCGAAGGCGGCCCCCUGGACGAAGACUGACGCUCAGGUGCGAAAGCGUGGGGAGCAAACAGGAUUAGAUACCCUGGUAGUCCACGCCGUAAACGAUGUCGACUUGGAGGUUGUGCCCUUGAGGCGUGGCUUCCGGAGCUAACGCGUUAAGUCGACCGCCUGGGGAGUACGGCCGCAAGGUUAAAACUCAAAUGAAUUGACGGGGGCCCGCACAAGCGGUGGAGCAUGUGGUUUAAUUCGAUGCAACGCGAAGAACCUUACCUGGUCUUGACAUCCACGGAAGUUUUCAGAGAUGAGAAUGUGCCUUCGGGAACCGUGAGACAGGUGCUGCAUGGCUGUCGUCAGCUCGUGUUGUGAAAUGUUGGGUUAAGUCCCGCAACGAGCGCAACCCUUAUCCUUUGUUGCCAGCGGUCCGGCCGGGAACUCAAAGGAGACUGCCAGUGAUAAACUGGAGGAAGGUGGGGAUGACGUCAAGUCAUCAUGGCCCUUACGACCAGGGCUACACACGUGCUACAAUGGCGCAUACAAAGAGAAGCGACCUCGCGAGAGCAAGCGGACCUCAUAAAGUGCGUCGUAGUCCGGAUUGGAGUCUACAACUCGACUCCAUGAAGUCGGAAUCGCUAGUAAUCGUGGAUCAGAAUGCCACGGUGAAUACGUUCCCGGGCCU
rnacentral:rRNA from 1 species